rnacentral:rRNA from 1 species
GACGAACGCUGGCGGCGUGCUUAACACAUGCAAGUCGAACGAAGUGGCGAACGGGUGUAUAACGCGUAAUCAACCUGCCCUUCAGAGGGGGACAACAGUUGGGAACGACUGAUAAUACCGCAUACUGAAGGAGGGGAUUGGGUCUGAUUAGCUAGGGGGAGGGGUAACGGCCCACCAAGGCGAGGAACAGUAGCCGGUCUGAGCGGAUGAACGGCCACAUUGGGACUGAGACACGGCCCAGACGCCUACGGGAGGCAGCAGUGGGGAAUCUUCCGCAAUGGACUAAAGUCUGACGGAGCAACGCCGCGUGAGUGAUGACGGCCUUCGGGUUGUAAAGCUCUGUUAAUCGGGACGCGGUACCGGAAUAGAAAGCCACGGCUAACUACGUGCCAGCAGCCGCGGUAAUAC